AGCGAACGCUGGCGGCAGGCCUAACACAUGCAAGUCGAACGAACCCUUCGGGGUUAGAGGCGGACGGGUGAGUAACACGUGGGAACGUGCCUUUAGGUUCGGAAUAACUCAGGGAAACUUGUGCUAAUACCGAAUGUGCCCUUCGGGGGAAAGGUUUAUCGCCUUUAGAGCGGCCCGCGUCUGAUUAGCUAGUUGGUGAGGUAAUGGCUCACCAAGGCUACGAUCAGUAGCUGGUCUGAGAGGAUGACCAGCCACAUUGGGACUGAGACACGGCCCAAACUCCUACGGGAGGCAGCAGUGGGGAAUCUUGCGCAAUGGGCGAAAGCCUGACGCAGCCAUGCCGCGUGGAUGAUGAAGGUCUUAGGAUUGUAAAAUCCUUUCACCGGUGAAGAUAAUGACUGUAGCCGGAGAAGAAGCCCCGGCUAACUUCGUGCCAGCAGCCGCCGUAAUAC
rnacentral:rRNA from 1 species